AACUCAACCGAAACGUCGUCGUCGUCUGUUAGCUGUGUUAGGACCAAAAGCGUGGUCGUUUUGAUCAGAACAUUUCCGGGGCAAAAAGCAGAGGACAGCGAUUGAAAUUCUAAAGAGUGAGAGUAAAAGACUGGGCCGUUGUACAAGAAGAAGCCGCUAUGGGGCGAGGGAAUAACACCGAAGGCCUCGUCGGAAUCUGAACCAGACCACCGUCCACCGCCGUAGGCGAUCCGGCCAACUUGUUGACUAGCGAAGAGUCUAUAGCGAGGUCACGCUCGCGCUCCGGAGCGGCCUCCGCGACGUUCCUCCGAGUUCUCGUUCCUCAGCAUCCGCGGCCUUCUCAACUUCCUCCGAUCGGUCGCCGAGUCCGAUUCCACCAUCAACCUCUUCUCUCAGACGCAAUCGCUCCUCGAGCUUCAAGCGGUGCCCAUUCAGUUUCGGCACUCGCUAAAAGAUUCGGACGAUGAGAUCGUGUGUAAUUUGGAUCGCAUAUUCGGCGUGGAGCCUCUGAAGAUCACGAGCCCGUCAACCGAUUCCGGGGUCUCGCUUGCGCUUAGGCUUUUUUAGGGUUGAAAUGUGGAGAGUUCUUGCUGCUGCUCAUUGGCAACUGUACAUGAGGACAUAAGACGUCUUUUGGGUGAGAAAUCUGCUUCCUUGUUAUGGGCAGCCAGUCAGUUUGGUUCGACUCUUGAUCCGGAGCAAAGACUAACUGCACUUCACAUCCAAGCUCUCCUCGUGUUAGAGUCCUUAGAUCUGUACUGAAUCUGAACAUAGAAAGCACCCUAGGCAUUUUGUUUUGUUUUUCUUUGUAUUUCAAUGAAAUACACUAUCAGUAAUUUGUAAGAAAAUGGUCGUCUUCAAUGAAAUGUUUGCCUUGACA